rnacentral:lncRNA from 1 species
AGAGCUCAGAGAGGCUGAGACAAACCCAGAAACCAACAGCUCUCAGGCUGAAGCUGGUAACCUCCCUGCUCAACAUGAAGGUCUCUGCAGCACUUCUGUGUCUGCUGCUCACAGCAGCCGUCUUCAGCACCCAGGUGCUGGCUCAGCCAGCUUCUGUCCCAACUGUCUGCUGCUUUAAUGUGGCCAGAAGGAAGAUCCCCAUUCAGCGACUGCAGAGCUACAGAAGAAUCACCAACAGCAGAUGUCCCCAGAAAGCUGUGAUCUUCAGCACCAAGCAGGACAAGAAGAUCUGUGUUGCUCCCCAGGAGAAAUGGGUCCAGGAUGCCAUGAAGUACCUGGACCAAAAAGCCCAAACUUUAAAGCCAUAAAUAUUCACCUUUUAAAACCAAACCAGAGCCUCAAAAUGCUUGAUUCAUUCUCCCGGUCUUCCUAAGAUGUAUUCUGAGAUAACCUCAUUCCAAAAGGAAUGGCUUUUAUUUAAUAAUUAAAAAAAAUAUUGCAUAUAAGUUAUUGACUUUUUAAAAAAUUCUCUGCCAUGAAUUUUUGUUACUUUUAAAAUGUAAAGCUUUGGUUGGGUCCCUCCCCCUCUGUGAGCCCCAAUUCAAUCCCCUGCAACAUAUGAGUAAUGUUGUCUCUCUCCUCUUUAAUUCCCUGGAAUCUUCUAAGGGUCCUGGCAAGGAUCAUCGAUACAAAAAGGUUUUGUAUUUAUUUAUUUUUUUUUUUUUUGCGGUACGCGGGCCUCUCACUGCUGUGGCCUCUCCCGUUGCGGAGCACAUGCUCUAGACGCACAGGCUCAGCGGCCAUGGCUCACGGGCCCAGCCGCUCCACGGCAUGUGGGAUCUUCCCGGUCUGGGGCACGAACCCGUGUCCCCUGCAUCGGCAGGCGGACUCUCAACCACUGCACCACCAGGGAAGCCCCGAAAAAUGUUUUGUAUUUUUAAGAAGAUAAUUGCUCUUGUGAACCAAAGGUGUGGCUCAUAAUGUUAAAUGGAAAUACAUGUUAUUUUAGGAAUUCAGAAAAAAAUUUUUUUCUUACAGUC